rnacentral:rRNA from 1 species
GCAUCGAUGAAGAACGCAGCGAACUGCGAUAAGUAAUGUGAAUUGCAGAAUUCAGUGAAUCAUCGAGUCUUUGAACGCACAUUGCGCCCCCUGGCAUUCCGGGGGGCAUGCCUGUCCGAGCGUCAUUGCUGCCCAUCAAGCCCGGCUUGUGUGUUGGGUCGUCGUCCCUCCCGGGGGACGGGCCCGAAAGGCAGCGGCGGCGCCGUGUCCGGUCCUCGAGCGUAUGGGGCUUUGUCACCCGCUCGAUUAGGACCGGCCGGGCGCCAGCCGACGUCUCCAACCAUUGUUNUUCAGGUUGACCUCGGAUCAGGUAGGGAUACCCGUUGGACAUUAAGCAUAUCAAUAAGCGGAGGA